rnacentral:rRNA from 1 species
UACGAAGGGGACUAGCGUUGUUCGGAAUCACUGGGCGUAAAGAGCUCGUAGGCGGCUUGUCGCGUCGAAUGUGAAAACUCGGGGCUCAACCCCGCGCUUGCAUUCGAUACGGGCAGGCUCGAGUUCGGUAGGGGAGACUGGAAUUCCUGGUGUAGCGGUGAAAUGCGCAGAUAUCAGGAGGAACACCGGUGGCGAAGGCGGGACUCUGGGCCGAUACUGACGCUGAGGAGCGAAAGCGUGGGGAGCAAACAGG